GCAACGUUUCGACUUCGACUUGUCUUUGUCAAGUGUCUGUGUGUGUGCUUGACAAAGACUCCAUUGGUAGUUUAAACGUUGCAGUGUUCCACUUGUUCUAAUAAAGGUGCCUGAAGACAUUGGAGUGCCUGGACCCCUUUUCUAAUACUGGUAUUUAUCUUCUGGGCUUGUGCUGGCCCUUGGUUCAGCUAAGCACCCUGUCUUUAGUGAAUUGGCGCUUUGGCUCAAAU